rnacentral:rRNA from 1 species
UACAGAGGUCUCAAGCGUUGUUCGGAUUCAUUGGGCGUAAAGGGUGCGUAGGUGGCGUGGUAAGUCGGGUGUGAAAUUUCGGAGCUUAACUCCGAAACUGCAUUCGAUACUGCCGUGCUUGAGGACUGGAGAGGAGACUGGAAUUUACGGUGUAGCAGUGAAAUGCGUAGAGAUCGUAAGGAAGACCAGUGGCGAAGGCGGGUCUCUGGGCCAACAACUGACGCUGAGGAGCGAAAGCGUGGGGAGCGAACAGG